ACCUCUCCCUGCCUUCCUCCUUCCACACAGACCAGCGCACCCGGGCUCGCUCAGCUAUGCAAGAGCGGCGCCCUCCCAGAGGUCAAGUUCCCCCUCCACCAGGCAGUAGGGACAGCCUGGCCUGGAGCGUGGCUGUUCUGCCUGGGGGACCCUGCGGAUAUUUUCCAUGCAGCCUGCCCCACUGUGGUCCCCCUAGACCUAGUCUCCUUGCCAAGCUUCCUUCUCGCACCCCCAGCCCGCCCCCUCGUCUCAUCUAACUCAGUCAUCUCUCCCUGUCUGUCCCCUGAAGCCCUGAGCUAGCCACUUCCUCCCCCACAACUACACCCAGGCGCGCAUCCCUCCCUGUCGCUAACUCCGGCUGGACUUGCCACAACUUUUGCUUUUAUAGCCCUCAGCCGCGUCACCGGGGUCAUUGCUCAACGGGACGAUUCCUCCACGGCCACCGGCAAAAAAGUCCCUCCCCGACCCUGCCCGGAGAGACUCCCGGGCGGUGCAUGGUCUCCCAGGCGGCCCCCACGCAAGGACCCCAGUGUAUCCCCGCUUCUCUUUAACAGUGCUUUUUGGGAUCGCGGACAGCGCUCAAGGUGACAUUUGGGAGGCGAAUGCCAUGAGGAAGAAGACCCCUUUUCUUCCCGGAUGUUGUUGAGGCAUCCCCAGCCUGGCUCUUCUGGAAGCAAACCUGGUGAACUCCUGAGCCCUCCAGCAAGGCGGGCAGGGCCCGAAUGUCUGGAGAGGACUUUGGACCGUGUAGCGGGCACCUCCCUUGCUAGGGGGUGCAGGGUGAUGAGGAAGCUCUGGCCCCUGAGGUAGAGGAUGAAAAAGGACCCCGGUUCAAGUAACCAGAAUGGAAAAUGGCAUCUGACAGGAACUCCUGCCAGGAACCUCUCCCUGGUUAACACCCACACCCCAUACAAAACAACCCCUUGAAAGCAGGCCCCCUUGGCAACCGAGAAGAAGCUGGUGAAGACAUUUCGCCUGCGUCUGUGAGGUGGUAUCAGCAGGCAGGGCUGGGCCUGACAUGCACCCCUCCCUGUGCUUCUCGGAAAACUGGUGACUGUGUGUCAUCUGACCUUCAGCACAGAAGGUGGUGAUGUGGCAAGCCCAGGCUUGCUCCCUGGCGCCUGCUUAGCCCUGUUUCUCUGCCAGGGGAAGAUUCCGGCAGUGCGGCCUCCUCCAGGAUCUGCCCCAUCAGUCUCUUCCUGACUGUAUCUCCAGGGGUGGGUUGGGGUGGGGUGAUUUGGCCUGAAAGAACCGUGUGGAAAGAGGGAAUUGUCUGUCAAAAUGUUCUAGAAAGCUGGGCAGCUUAUGAAACCAAUGGAGGAGUCUUCACUGCUGCUUCACAGUACUGGGCAGUGGAGUCAGCCAGACCUUUCUUUAUCUCACCAGGCAUCUGAGAGAAACAAACUAUGGUAGAUUUUAUUUUUCAAAAAAGAGUGGGAUCCAUUCGCUUUUGAAGGCCAUGGUGGGAGGAUUGCCUAGAGGCCAGGAGUUCGAGACCAGCCUGGGAAACACAGCAAGACCCUGUCUCUACAAAAAAUGAAAGAAAAAAAAAAAAAAAAGCCAGGUGCACAUGACUGCCUGUAGUCUCAGCUACUGGGGAGACUGAGGCAGCAGGAUCCCUUGAGCCUAGGAUUUUGAGGCUGCAGUGAGCUAUGAUUGUGCCACUGCACUCCAGGCUGGCCAACAAGAGUGAGACCCUUUCUAAUACAUAUAUAUAUAUAGAUUUUUUUUUAAGUAGGGACAAUUACUGACAUACAAAACAUAGGAUUCUGUAAAGCAUAGGCUUCCCUGUCACAAAGGGAACCAAGUCUCCUUUGUGCCCUUGUAUCUGGAGCUGCCUUUGCCACCCUGGGUUUUCAAGGACAAAAGGGCACUGUUUCAGAGGGUCCUUAUGUAGAAGCUUUGCUGGCCUCCAAGUUCCACACAGCUCGUUUUUCUCGGGAAAGGAAUGUAUUUAAGGAGAGAUGAGCUGAGGGUAGACAACCACAUGGAUAUCUCUGUCCUGCCUUAAGGGGCCAAAGCUGUGCCCACAGUAAGGAGGGUACACAUUGGGCCUGGGUUCUGCUCUCUUCCUCUACAAAUAAGUCUAAAAAUACCUCUGCCCAGCUGGAGGGUGAGAGCAGGAAGGCCGGUGUCAGCAGAUUUCUCUAGAUCAAAACAAGUUGUUCCAGAAAACAGCAGCAAACAGAGGCCCUUGGAUUCCGGGGUGGAGCUGGGUGGUGAAGGGCCCGCCCUGCCUGUGUGGGUGGCCAACUCCUGCUUCUUCCCAGGCAGACAGAGGAACAGGAGGGGGCUGCUUUGGCAACAUCUGGAUUCCAGGGUUAGGGCCCUGUCUCCAAGCCCUUUCUUUCUUUUCUUUUUUUUUUUGAUGGAGUCUCACUCUGUUGCCCAGGCUGGAGUGCAGUGGUGUGAUCUCUGCUCACUGCACCCUCCCUCCUGGGUUCAAGUGAUUUUCCUGCCUCAGCCUCCCGAGUAGCUGGGACUAUAGGCUUACACCACCACAUUGGCUAAUUUUUUUUUUUUUUUUUUGUAUUUUUAGUAGAGACAGGGUUUUACCACAUUGGCCAGGCUGGUCUCCAACUCCUGACCUCAAGUGAUCCACCUGCCUUGACCUCCCAAAGUGCUGCGAUUACAGGGGUAGCCACCGCGCCUGGCCCCUGUCUCCAAGCCCUUUCUUGCGGCUAUUGCCAAUCAGGGUCACUGGUCUCCCGGGUGCCUGGAGCCCCACAUCUUGUUCUGAAGCCAGGUCAGCUCUGUGGUUUCCAAACAUAUAGACAGACCAGUCCCAGGAAGUACCCGGGAUUUCCCACAGGAGCCCCUGGAAAAGGGGAGCAGAAGCCGG
rnacentral:lncRNA from 1 species